rnacentral:miRNA from 1 species
AAAUUGAAAGGGUAAUCGAAUGCCCUUUCAAUUGUCAGAAGUCUUCACUUCGAAAAAUUCUGACAAUUGAAAGGGCAAUCAUUCGAUUACCCUUUCAAUUUU